rnacentral:lncRNA from 1 species
AAAAUUUAAUCUUUUAUACAUAGCUACGCUUAUAUGCUUUUAGAAGUACAGUGACCUCCGUCUUAUCAUGUUACUUUUAGUGUUCCGACUUCCGAUAAUCAGUUUAAUUAGAUUUGAUCUAAACCACUUGAAAUAUCUAGAAAAUAAAUUUCACAAUAUUUUUAUAUUAUUAACCUAGUGAUUAAACGGAUCCAACAUCAAUAAUUCUAAUGAUCGUGGUGAGCCGUUUAUAAGUUUAACGGUGUAUAAAUAUUCAAAACACGUGAAAUUUAGAUAGAAGAUUUUUUCAUACUAAAUAAAAUAAAAUCAAUAUUUUUUUAUCUAAAAUUUACUUGGUAUUAUAUCAUCACUUUUAGUGAUAUUUUUAUUUUCAGCUGUUAAUUUUAUGCCCUUUCGACCGCUACGUAAUAAUAUCAAAAAAUUACAAAAUUUAUUUUCUAAAUACUUUAAUACUUAAUAUUAAGUUUAACGGAGCUGAUAAUCGAUUCGGAAGUCCUAUCAUCAACUUGAC